GGCAGCCCAAACAACCGAUGCCAGGGGCGCAAAAAUAAUGUGCCUCCUCGACCCCUCACCCGUGCUCAAGCCACGCCAUCCUCGCGCCGCCGCCGCCGCUGCCACACCUCCGUCAUCUCGCGGCCGCGGCCGCACCUCCGCCAUCUCGCCGACGCGGCCGCAACCCAAACACCUCCAUCCCCCUUCCAUGACUAGAUACCCCUUCAUAAUUGCGAGGAGAGGCGUGGAGGAGAGGCAAAACCGGCGGCGGCCUUGCAAGGGCCUGCGGUGGUGCGGUCGGCAAGGACAUGCAGAAUCUCGCCGGAUCCGGUGGGAAGUGGCGCUCAGGCGGUGGAUCUGCAAGGAAGGCGGCUGGAGCUCGGAGCAUGACGGUUGGCGGGCGCGGCAUGGCGUCGGGUAACUGUGAGGGAAGAGAGAGAUGAGCGGGAGAGAAAAGGUAGCACGUGAGGAAGGAGAUGGGAGGCCGGAGGGAGAGAUAAGGGAGCUGUGAGGUGUGGCAGUUGUCCUGCUGCUGCUCGCCGGUGGCUCGCCGGCCAUCCGCGAGCCGGAAUUGCGGCCCCACGCGAGGGAAAGAUCAGCGUUGCUGCAACCACGGCAGGACGGCCACCAUGCGCGUACCUUACAAGCAGCAGCUGCCUCACUUCGCCUUGGACGACAUGACGAUUACAAAAUAUUCAGUCAUCCCCCUUGCCGUCUACCUGUUGGACACUUGGACCUACUCAUGUGUUUGAGAUAAUUGUGCAGAAAAGCUGAAAACGGGAUAUAAUUCUACGCGAGAGAUGACCGCUAAAGGUUAUUUGUUUCCCCAGUAUGGACCAGGACAUAGGGAAAGAUUAGCAUGGCUGCAACCAUGGCAAGACACCCACCAUGCGUGCACCUUACAAGUUGCAGCAGCUUCACUUGGUUGUCAACGACAUAUCAAGCAUAAAAUAGAUAGCCAGCUGCAAGCAUUGCUCCUCCCCGCCCAACAGAACAAACUUUUGCAACGUGCCCUUUUCUGCUCUGCCCAAUUCCAGCCAUCCCUCCAUCUACCUGUUGGACUUGCUGACCCAUGUGUUUGAGGAGUGUGAUGCCACCAUCCUGUGCCACAAACCAUACCAAGAAUGGCGGGUUAUGCAUAGAGUUCAUUUGAUCCAUCUGAUAAAAAUACCUAUUGGGGAAUAAGCAUGAAAAGUAAUCAACCACUCUUUCCAUGGUGGAGUUCCUCUAUUUAUUUGACUAUUGUUAGAUUGGUUCAUCCUGGUCUGACAUGUUAAUGAAAGUGUUGUCUCAUUCCUCAUAUGAUCUGGAUACCUUUUAAUUGAUUGGUUCUUCUUUUGGAUUACUCUAUAUUAAUUCCCUAUGUGUAUCUUUAUUAUGUUCCUCAAGACUUUGGAGUAAGACAUUUAUUUUGUUGAUAUUAGUUUCAAGGGAACAUGGUGCCCUACGACACAUGAAGAUUACUGAAAAUCAGUUCUAAAUCUAAUCAAGUCUAAUCUUCUCUGUUUGAAGUUAUGACAUUCAUAAUAUUGCAUUGUAGAUAGACAAAAAGAUAUAUGUAUUAAAUUUUGUGGCUCUAGCAUAAAUGUUUAUCACCAUGGUGACAUUUCUUUUUCAAUUUAGAUAAGAAAAAAGAGACAAGUAUUGAACAGAGAGUAAGAGCAUUGUAGUUCAGCGUGGUUCAUGCCAAAGACUGUGAUACAUAUAAUUUCUUAGGAUAGUGCAAAUUCAUUGAUGAUGCAGCAGAAGUAACUCAAGUUCUGCUAGAAUUUCUCUCACAUAACAUGGAUAGAGGUGAGUUUUGCAUAAUCCAUCUCAGUAACAAGCUUGCAUUGAGUAAUUCUUUUCAAGAAGCUUACCAUGCAUAACUACAUGAUACUUGUAGUUCUCAGUGGCAAUUGACAGCUACAUUCUUCAAUGGGAGACCUAGCAUAUAAUUGCCUUGAGUACAACAAUACAUGAUCUUCUGGCAACAAACUGUUCAUGAUUGACGCAUAAUAUGUCCUCUGUCCGCAUUUUAAUUAUUUAUAUUAAUAUUUCCGGUUAUCACUGCAGGAGUUGCAACGGAUUUUAUGAGGGAAGUCUGCAAUGCAGACUGUGCUAAGUGUAUCCGCUGAUUUUAUCGACAGUAAAUGGUCCACUGCUAUUGACAGGUGCCUUCUUGCACUCUUCUGACCCAGAUUUGGCAUGUUUAUCAUUUUCUACUAUCAUCGUGUAGUUGCACAAAAAUACGUAAGAGCAUGGCUCAAAACUCACAGAGAGGCACAACUUUGAAAUGGUUUUAUUUAAACAAUGAAAGAAUGUUUUUUGACUGAAAAGCUGUAGUAUAUUUUGAUUAUGGGGACACAGCUGAAAUGUAUACACCAAGAAAAAAUAAUUCUCUUUAGUUGAAUUUUAAAUUCAUGUUUUGGAAAUCAAAUCCAUUUCAAACUUCAUGAUUUCGACUAGAAUGAUUAAUGCUACGCCCUGCUGUUGCCAAAGGUUGUGACACUUUUUUUAAUGAUAAUGCAAAUUGAUUGAUGAUGCAGCGCAAGUAGUAUAAGUUCAUCAUGUCCACUGCCCAUCCAUGAAUUUUUUUAUCAUUGUUACUCCCGUUGCAAUACACGGGCACAUAGUAGGAGGAAUAUGUGUGCGUUGAUGGGUGCUGGAGGGCCAUCCCCUUGAGGACGUGGACAAGGUGUGUGUGGUGCACAACGCCAUGUCAUGUCUUACCUCGUCGACCAGCCAAUGACCAUCAUCGGACAUGCUCUUCUCCUGGACGCCGCUGGGAAGAAGCCUGUCUCUAUUGAUCCGUUUGCGCCCGUCACUAAUGCACAUGGAGUCGCAGUGAGAGUUUUUCAUGGAUGUGACACAAACUACUCGAUAUUAAACUAAUUUUCGUGCAUAUCAAUGUAGCAAAGUAUGUGUGUUUCAGAAAUUUUAUUUUUUAUUUUUUAAA